GACGAACGCUGGCGGCGUGCUUAACACAUGCAAGUCGAACGGAAAGGCCCUGCUUUUGUGGGGUGCUCGAGUGGCGAACGGGUGAGUAACACGUGAGUAACCUGCCCUUGACUUUGGGAUAACUUCAGGAAACUGGGGCUAAUACCGGAUAGGAGCUCCUGCUGCAUGGUGGGGGUUGGAAAGUUUCGGCGGUUGGGGAUGGACUCGCGGCUUAUCAGCUUGUUGGUGGAGUAGUGGCUUACCAAGGCUUUGACGGGUAGCCGGCCUGGGAGGGUGACCGGCCACAUUGGGACUGAGAUACGGCCCAGACUCCUACGGGAGGCAGCAGUGGGGAAUAUGGCACAAUGGGCGGAAGCCUGAUGCAGCAACGCCGCGUGCGGGAUGCCGGCCUUCGGGUUGUAAACCGAUUUCGCCUGUGACGAAGCGUGAGUGACGGUAAUGGGUAAAGAAGCACCGGCUAACUACGUG
rnacentral:rRNA from 1 species